CUAACGGCGUGAUCUUAUCAACUUGUAAACCCUAACCAGACUUUCCUCUUCACUUCUUCUUCACCACAUUGACACCUUCCUGAACCAACCUCCAUCUCCAUCUCCAUCACCACAUCGACCACCGCCCUCCAUCAUCGUCCUCAACCCCAAACGCCGUCGCACCCCGCCACCCACUCCGUCGCACACAUCCGCCUCCAUCUCCAUCACCACUUCCCCGUCGCUGGUUCCGACCACCACGGCCUCACCCGUCUUCUCCAACCACACCGGAACCAUCACGCACCACCGUUCGCCCUCACCUUCGCCUCCGGUCUCCGACAUCAGUUCCAAAUAAUUUACACAACCACAAAUUCACUCAGUUUAACGAAGCUUCCAAUUCGUGAUUUUGCUUUACUGAUUCCGUUUUAUUCAGGUUAUGUGUUAGAUUUGGAUAUCUGACCUGGCCACACGCAUACUUCAAGGAACUCUUUAAUCGGUUACGACUUUCAUGGAUUUAGGAUUUGUGUGUGUUUUGAAUUGAUUCGACGGUCAUUUGGGUGUAUGUUCUAUAUGAAUUUCCGCUUAUGCUGUGGGUUUUGGACGUAAGAGCUUGAUCAGGAUCUAUAUUGUUUGCGUUUUGUUGAUGCUGUCUGGAUAAAUAUAUAUAUAUAUAUAUAUAUAUAUAUAUAUAUAUAUAUAUAUAUUUUAAAAGAUCGGAUUCAGUAUUUGGUCAUUUUUAUUUUCAUUUUGUACAAUUAAAAUGGCAGCACUUUGUUGGCAUGUAUAUUGCAGUAGAGUAUAAUAGAAUGAUGGCAAGGCUGGUUGUGUGUAUGUGUAUUAUAUUCCUGGCUGGUUAUAGGUUAAGCUUUUUAAUUUCUAUUUA